GGCCCUGUAGCUCAGUCGGUAGAGCAGAGGACUGAAAAUCCUCGUGUCGGCAGUUCGACUCUGUCCGGGGCCA
rnacentral:tRNA from 1 species